rnacentral:rRNA from 1 species
AUUGAACGCUGGCGGCAGGCUUAAAACAUGCAAGUCGAACGAGUGGCGGACGGGUGAGUAAUGCUUGGGAAUCUAGCUUAUGGAGGGGGACAACUUAGGGAAACCGUAGCUAAUACCGCGUCCCAUAGGAUGAGCCCAAGUGGGAGUAGCUAGUUGGUGGGGUAAUGGCGCACCAAGGCGACGAUCUCUAGCUGGUUUGAGAGGAUGAACAGCCACACUUGGACUGAGACACGGCCCAGACUCCUACGGGAGGCAGCAGUGGGGAAUAUUGGACAAUGGGCGAAAGCCUGAUCCAGCAAUACCGCGUGUGUGAAGAAGGCCCUAGGGUUGUAAAGCACUUUUGUUAGGGAGAUGUUACCUAAAGAAUAAGCACCGGCUAACUCCGUGCCAGCAGCCGCGGUAAUAC